rnacentral:rRNA from 1 species
UGGGGAAUCUUAGACAAUGGGGGAAACCCUGAUCUAGCCACGCCGCGUGAGCGAUGAAGGCCUUAGGGUUGUAAAGCUCUUUCAGCUGGGAAGAUAAUGACGGUACCAGCAGAAGAAGCCCCGGCUAACUCCGUGCCAGCAGCCGCGGUAAUACGGAGGGGGCUAGCGUUGUUCGGAAUUACUGGGCGUAAAGCGCACGUAGGCGGAUUAGUCAGUCGGAGGUGAAAUCCCAGGGCUCAACCCUGGAACUGCCUUUGAUACUGCUAGUCUUGAGGUCGAGAGAGGUGAGUGGAAUUCCGAGUGUAGAGGUGAAAUUCGUAGAUAUUCGGAGGAACACCAGUGGCGAAGGCGGCUCACUGGCUCGAUACUGACGCUGAGGUGCGAAAGCGUGGGGAGCAAAACAGGAUUAGAUACCCUGGUAGUCCACGCCGUAAACGAUGAAUGCCAGUCGUCGGGUUGCAUGCAAUUCGGUGACACACCUAACGGAUUAAGCAUUCCGCCUGGGGAGUACGGUCGCAAGAUUAAAACUCAAAGGAAUUGAC